rnacentral:lncRNA from 1 species
AUGUCUGUCAACAGACUGUGGGUUAACAUAACUAAUAUCAUAGCGUAUGUCAACAGACUGUGGGAUAACAUAACUGAUAUCAUAAUGUCUGUCAACAGACUGUGGGUUAACAUAACUGAUAUCAUAGCGUCUGUCAACAGACUGUGGGUUAACAUAACUGAUAUCAUAGCGUAUGUCAACAGACUGUGGGAUAACAUAACUGAUAUCAUAAUGUCUGUCAACAGACUGUGGGUUAACAUAACUGAUAUCAUAGCGUCUGUCAACAGACUGUGGGUUAACAUAACUGAUAUCAUAGCGUCUGUCAACAGACUGUGGGUUAACAUAACUGAUAUCAUAGCGUCUGUCAACAGACUGUGGGAUAACAUAACUGAUAUCAUAGUGUCUGUCAACAGACUGUGGGAUAACAUAACUGAUAUCAUAAUGUCUGUCAACAGACUGUGGGCUAACAUAACUGAUAUCAUAGCGUCUGUCAACAGACUGUGGGUUAAUAUAACUGAUAUCGUAGCGUCUGUCAACAGACUGUGGGUUAACAUAACUGAUAUCGUAGCGUCUGUCAACAGACUGUGGGUUAUCAUAGUGUCUGUCAACAGACUGUGGGUUAACAUAACUGAUAUCAUAACGUCUGUCAACAGACUGUGGGUUAACAUAACUGAUAUCAUAGCGUCUGUCAACAGACUGUGGGAUAACAUAACUGAUAUCAUAGCGUCUGUCAACAGACUGUGGGUUAACAUAACUGAUAUCAUAGCGUCUGUCAACAGACUGUGGGUUAACAUAACUGAUAUCAUAACGUCUGUCAACAGACUGUGGGAUAACAUAACUGAUAUCAUAGCGUCUGUCAACAGACUGUGGGAUAACAUAACUGAUAUCGUAGUGUCUGUCAACAGACUGUGGGAUAACAUAACUGAUAUCAUAACGUCUGUCAACAGACUGUGGGAUAACAUAACUGAUAUCAUAGCGUCUGUCAACAGACUGUGGGAUAACAUAACUGAUAUCAUAACGUCUGUCAACAGACUGUGGGAUAACAUAACUGAUAUCGUAGUGUCUGUCAACAGACUGUGGGAUAACAUAACUGAUAUCGUAGCGUCUGUCAACAGACUGUGGGAUAACAUAACUGAUAUCGUAGCGUAUGUCAACAGACUGUGGGUUAACAUAACUGAUAUCGUAGUGUCUGUCAACAGACUGUGGGUUAACAUAACUGAUAUCAUAGCGUCUGUCAACAGACUGUGGGUUAAUAUAACUGAUAUCAUAGCGUCUGUCAACAGACUGUGGGAUAACAUAACUGAUAUCAUAACGUCUGUCAACAGACUGUGGGAUAACAUAACUGAUAUCAUAGCGUCUGUCAACAGACUGUGGGAUAACAUAACUGAUAUCAUAACGUCUGUCAACAGACUGUGGGAUAACAUAACUGAUAUCGUAGUGUCUGUCAACAGACUGUGGGAUAACAUAACUGAUAUCGUAGCGUCUGUCAACAGACUGUGGGAUAACAUAACUGAUAUCGUAGCGUAUGUCAACAGACUGUGGGUUAACAUAACUGAUAUCGUAGUGUCUGUCAACAGACUGUGGGUUAACAUAACUGAUAUCAUAGCGUCUGUCAACAGACUGUGGGUUAACAUAACUAAUAUCAUAGCGUAUGUCAACAGACUGUGGGAUAACAUAACUGAUAUCGUAGUGUCUGUCAACAGACUGUGGGAUAACAUAACUGAUAUCGUAGCGUCUGUCAACAGACUGUGGGAUAACAUAACUGAUAUCGUAGCGUAUGUCAACAGACUGUGGGUUAACAUAACUGAUAUCGUAGUGUCUGUCAACAGACUGUGGGUUAACAUAACUGAUAUCGUAGUGUCUGUCAACAGACUGUGGGAUAACAUAACUGAUAUCGUAGCGUCUGUCAACAGACUGUGGGAUAACAUAACUGAUAUCAUAGCGUAUGUCAACAGACUGUGGGUUAACAUAACUGAUAUCGUAGUGUCUGUCAACAGACUGUGGGUUAACAUAACUGAUAUCGUAGCGUCUGUCAACAGACUGUGGGUUAACAUAACUGAUAUCGUAGUGUCUGUCAACAGACUGUGGGAUAACAUAACUGAUAUCGUAGCGUCUGUCAACAGACUGUGGGAUAACAUAACUGAUAUCGUAGCGUCUGUCAACAGACUGUGGGAUAACAUAACUGAUAUCAUAGUGUCUGUCAACAGACUGUGGGUUAACAUAACUGAUAUCAUAGCGUCUGUCAACAGACUGUGGGUUAACAUAACUGAUAUCAUAGCGUCUGUCAACAGACUGUGGGAUAACAUAACUGAUAUCGUAGUGUCUGUCAACAGACUGUGGGAUAACAUAACUGAUAUCAUAGUGUCUGUCAACAGACUGUGGGUUAACAUAACUGAUAUCAUAGCGUCUGUCAACAGACUGUGGGAUAACAUAACUGAUAUCGUAGCGUCUGUCAACAGACUGUGGGAUAACAUAACUGAUAUCGUAGUGUCUGUCAACAGACUGUGGGAUAACAUAACUGAUAUCGUAGUGUCUGUCAACAGACUGUGGGAUAACAUAACUGAUAUCGUAGUGUCUGUCAACAGACUGUGGGAUAACAUAACUGAUAUCAUAACGUCUGUCAACAGACUGUGGGUUAACAUAACUGAUAUCAUAGCGUCUGUCAACAGACUGUGGGAUAACAUAACUGAUAUCAUAGUGUCUGUCAACAGACUGUGGGUUAACAUAACUGAUAUCAUAGCGUCUGUCAACAGACAGUGGGAUAACAUAACUGAUAUCGUAGCGUCUGUCAACAGACUGUGGGAUAACAUAACUGAUAUCGUAGUGUCUGUCAACAGACUGUGGGAUAACAUAACUGAUAUCGUAGUGUCUGUCAACAGACUGUGGGAUAACAUAACUGAUAUCAUAGUGUCUGUCAACAGACUGUGGGUUAACAUAACUGAUAUCAUAGCGUCUGUCAACAGACUGUGGGAUAACAUAACUGAUAUCGUAGCGUCUGUCAACAGACUGUGGGAUAACAUAACUGAUAUCGUAGUGUCUGUCAACAGACUGUGGGAUAACAUAACUGAUAUCGUAGUGUCUGUCAACAGACUGUGGGAUAACAUAACUGAUAUCAUAACGUCUGUCAACAGACUGUGGGUUAACAUAACU